rnacentral:rRNA from 1 species
GGGUUAGUAGGUUGGUCAUGCCUCUGGUAUGUACUGGUCUCACUGAUUCCUCCUUCCUGAUGAGCCGUAAUGCCAUUAAUUUGGUGUUGCGGGGAAUUUGGACUGUUACUUUGAAAAAAUUAGAGUGUUUAAAGCAGGCAAUCGCUUGAAUACAUUAGCAUGGAAUAAUGAAAUAGGACGUUCGAUCCUAUUUUGUUGGUUUCUAGGAUUGACGUA